UACGGAGGGUGCAAGCGUUAAUCGGAAUUACUGGGCGUAAAGCGUGCGUAGGUGGUUCGUUAAGUCCGUUGUGAAAGCACCGAGCUCAACUUGGGAAUUGCAGUGGAUACUGGCGGGCUGGAGUGCGGUAGAGGAAGGUGGAAUUCCCGGUGUAGCGGUGAAAUUCGUAGAUAUCGGGAGGAACACCGGUGGCGAAGGCGGCGAUCUGGGUCGAUACUGACGCUGAGGUGCGAAAGCGUGGGGAGCGAACAGG
rnacentral:rRNA from 1 species